GGCGAAGCGGCCGGCUCUGGUGACCGGCGCGGUCUUCAAAACCGUUGAGCUGGCGCGCGAGCGUCGGUUGGUGGGUUCGAUUCCCAUGCUUCGCCGA
rnacentral:tRNA from 1 species